ACAAAGUUAAUCUUGCCCAUUUUGCUACCACCCACACUCGGAGAAGACGAAUACCGGCAUUGGCAACCUCGCCGGCGACCAGCCGGACGCCGGUGCUCUACGCCAGCGAAGCCAAAGGGGAAAGGAAAAAAAACCGCCGCUGGCCGCUGCGGUUUGACCUAGCUGACGUCGCCGCCGCUCACCGCCCACCGCACCCCCCACCCACCGCGUGAGGCCGAAGAAGCUGUGCGGAGCCAAAAACCCGAGGGCGUCACUGCAGGCCGCCCCUCUCGUCGUCUUCCUGCCACGCGGCGGUGCUCGGUGAUCUGACGCGUCCGUCUUGAACGGGAGGGGGGCAAAGGAAGCGGUGGGUUUUGUUGCCAAGCAAAAUAUGGCUGAGGUGCAUCUAUCGAGUUUUGCAAUCUCCGUUCUUGGAAAAGCGGCCUUUUGUGCUGCCAGCGAGAUUAAAUCAGCGUGGAAUUUCAAGAAAGAAGUGAGGAAGUUGGAAAGAUCUCUGAAGUCCAUCUGUGGUGUUCUUAAAGAUGCAGAGCGCAAGCAGUCUACUUCUUGUGCUCUUAAAGUGUGGCUGGAAGAUUUAAAGGAUGUCGUCUACGACAUUGAUGAUGUUCUGGAUGAUGUGGCCACCAAAGAUUUGGAGCAAAAGGUUCAUAAUGGUUUCUAUGCUGGGGUCAGUCGGCAGCUUGUUUACCCAUUCGAAUUGAGCCAUAAGAUAACAGUAGUUCGUCAAAAGCUUGAUGAGAUAGCAGCUAACAGAAGGGAGUUUGCAUUAACAGAGGAGAUCAUAGAUACGCAAUUUUUCAGUAGCAAUACCAGGGAAACACAUUCCUUCAUCAAUGAGUUAGACAUUGUUGGUAGAGACGAAGCGAAAAACAAGAUUGUUGAAAUCAUACUGAGUGCUGCGGAUGCAUAUGCUUUUUCUGUGCUUCCUAUUGUUGGUUUAGGAGGCAUAGGGAAAACUGCACUGGCCAAACUAGUGUACAAUGAUAUGAGGAUAAAGAAAAUGUUUGAGAAGAACUUAUGGGCUUGCGUAUCUAAUGUAUUUGAUCUAAAGAAGAUACUGGAUGACAUAAUCCAGUCAGAUACAGGUGAAAGCAACAAACAACUGAGCCUGCAAACGCUACAAAACAAGCUUCGUGGGUUUUUACAGGAAAACAAAUAUUUACUAGUUCUCGAUGACAUAUGGAGUGAUAAUGUUAAUGACUGGGAACAACUUAAAAACCUCCUAUCUAGUGGUGGAAGAGGAAGUGUUGUUGUAGUUACCACACGUAAUAUGAAUGUUGCGUCGGUGGUGAAGACGUUGGAGCCAUACUAUGUGCCAGAGCUUUCAUUUGAUGAAUGUAUGCAGGUAUUUAUUCGCUAUGCAUUCAGAGAUGAGGAAAAAAAGGACACACUCUUGUUAGAAAUUGGCAAAUGUAUUGUGGAGAAAUGCCACGGUGUUCCCUUGGCAGCUAAGACAUUGGGGUCUGUACUGUUUGGUAAACAGGAUGUUAAGGAGUGGUUGCGUAUUAAGGAUGCAAAUCUGUGGAAUAUUGAGCAAAAUAAAUGCGAUAUAUUGCCAGCCUUAAAAUUGAGUUAUGAUGCACUUCCACCUCAUCUUAAGGCAUGCUUCUCUUGCCUAUCUGUUUUUCCAAAAGACUACGUGAUUUUGAGAGAGCUUUUAAUUAUGUUCUGGAUGGCACUAGGGUUAUUGCAUAAAACCAGAGAAGGAGAUGAAAUAGAAACUAUUGGAGGACAAUACUUUAAUGAACUGGAUCAAAGAUCUCUUUUCCAAGACCAUUAUGUUAUUUAUAAUGGCUCAAUUCAAAGUUGUAAAAUGCAUGAUCUUGUUCAUAAUCUUGCGAUGUUUGUGUGCCAUAAGGAGCAUGCUAUUGUUAAUUGUGAAAGUAAAGAUUUAUCUGAAAAGGUUAGGCACCUUGUGUGGGAUCGCAAGGACUUCUCAACAGAGAUUGAAUUUCCUAAGCACCUGAGAAAGGCAAACAAGGCAAGGACAUUUGCAAGCAUUGAUAACAAUGGGACCAUGACUAAAGCUUUUCUUGACAACUUCUUGUCAACCUUUACACUCCUGCGUGUUCUUAUUUUUUCUGACGUUGAUUUUGAUGAGCUACCGAGUUCAAUUGGAAAUCUUAAGCACUUAAGGUACCUGGAUCUACAAUGGAAUGGGAAAAUUAAGUUCUUACCGAAUUCCCUAUGUAAGUUGGUGAACUUGCAAACACUGCAACUUAGUCGGUGCGACCAAUUAGAGAAGAUGCCAAAGGACGUGCAUAGACUUAUAAGCCUUAGAUUCUUGUGCCUCACACUGAAGAAUAAGUAUUUAUCAGAACAUGAUGGAUUUUGUAGUUUGACUUCACUGACAUUUCUGUUCUUAAAUUCAUGUGCUGAGUUAUCAUCAUUGACAAAUGGAUUUGGUAGUCUAACUUCCCUCCGAAAGCUCUACAUCUUCAACUGUCCAAAGUUGGCUACUCUACCCUCGACCAUGAAUCAACUCUCCACACUUCAAACAUUUCAGAAGCCAUGGGUGGCCUGGCUUGCCUUGAUGUGCUCCAGCUUGUUGGGCUUCCGAAGCUAGUCUGUUUUCCAGGGAGCUUUAUUUCUGCUGCUACCUCUCUUCAAUAUUUUGGUAUUGGAAAUUGCAAUGGAUUAAUGAAACUGCCAGAUUUCAUUCAAAGUUUCACUUCUCUCAAGAAAAUUGUGAUCAAUGGCUGUCCUGAGUUGAGCAGAAGAUGUGCUGUUAAAUCAGGGGAAGACUUCCAUCUCAUUUCCCAUGUUCCCCAAAUAACAAUUGACAAGAAAACAUAUCGGAAAAUUACUCCAUCACAUCCAGAAUGUUCUUCAGGUACUUCUCCCGGAACAAUGCCAAUGCUUGGAUGACUGAUGAGGUGUUACAAGGACUGGCGUGAGUUUCUUAUAGAGCUAUACAGAUGCUGCUGCGGUCUGAUUUGAGCCUCAACCGCCUCCCGCUCUUCACUUGUUCCAAAAUUUGGGUCAAAUUCCCAUGUUUCUCUUCCAACAUGACUGUUUCCACUCUUUAGCCAUGGUCCUCCCUCGGCAAUCUUGAGCUUCCACAUAUUGUAGAAACUAUUCUGCUACUUGUAAGUCUUACCUGUUGGAACAAAAAAAGAGUUUUUAGGACAAACCGAUAUAUAUUAUCGUUGUAGAAGUUUCCAAAAAGGAUAUUUUAUAUCUAGAUAUUGAGAUUAUAUCAUUUACUGUUGUACGUUGGAGUUUUUCCAGCUGCAAGAAAGCUAGUCGGUUUCACAUAUAUGUGUACGUGCUUGUGGCAGAUCUGACUGAGGUGACAAUGAUUUGGCACAGCUAGCUACUUUCUUACACAGCAAA